GCUUGUUCCGUGCACAGCGGACGCAACUGCUAGGUCCACCCAGCUCUUGUGCUUCGUUAUGGUGCGGGAGGACCGGGUGCGGUGGAAGGAAAUUGUGCGGGACUUCAGAGUUCGUCACCCCGAGGCGACUCACGGCGGGGCCGGGUAGAGCUGCGUGCUCUACCGUUAUGAGUUAUGGGGAGACCCUUUCCUGUCACCGCGGUGCCGUGAGGAUCUGUGCGGGCAGGAGGAGAAGAACUGCCUGUUGCAGGCGCACGUGGGAAAUGUCCACCUGCAGCGCUGAGCUCAGCUUCCGCCGGCCAUAAACCUAAUGUAAUCCUCCCUGUGGAAAUGUAAAAUGGAGGCGUGUUCUGAAUUAAAACUGCAAAUCCAGGGGACUCCAAGAUUAUAGGAGAGAUUAAAAAAUUGAAUCAAGCAACAUUGUAUAAUAUUCAGUCAGAAGAUCACUGCACUUCUGAGGAACUGUAAAAGAAGCAGAUGGUUCCAUUGCACUCAAUUUUACAGCUUUCAAAAAACAAAUUUCCCGACUUGUUUGAACUAGAAGUUACAUAUGACACUACAGGACUAAAGCCUACUUCAUUUGCUCUCAAGACUGGAAUUUUUGUGAAGAUAUCACUAAUUAUUUGCACAAGUAAAAAGCCUAUUCAGCAUGUGAGAAAUGUCAAUAGCAAAUUAAUAAAGUGAAACUGUGAAACAAAUUACAUUUUACCCAGGAGGGCGCUAGUUUCAAACAACUUGAAACAUAUUCAGUAGGUAAAUCUUUUCAGUCUCAUCCACCUGAUGAAAUAGCUCUGGUGCUUUUAAAAUGUUUUGCCAUAUGGCAGUGGACGAAAGACUUUGCAUCAUCUGUCAGACUGGUUGCCCAAGACAUUCUAUUAUACUGUUGCAGUAGCUGAAGCAAGAAAUUCACCAAAGCUUCCUUUCUUCUUGGAGAAGUACUGGCUAGUUUGUACAGAAAAAACAGUGAUGGCUCCAUGAUUCUCUCUCACCAUUUUCUGCCUAGAAAGUUGAAAAUAAUAAUAAUGAAUUAAUAUUAUUGGAGGAACCUGACAGAGGAUUAAAAAUUGCAAUGCAGUAUCCCUAACGACUUGGAAUAGUUAAUUAAGUUAUCUUAUAAAUGAGUUCCAAAAAUAACUUACUUUCAGCAAGUUAUUCUGAGAAACAGCCACUUUAGCAUACCUGAGCUGCAGUGCCUAUUAGAAAAGGGCCAAUUAUCCAGUGACUGGCAGUUAAAGGUGAACUGCUGUAGUUCUUAAUUAAAAGGCUCUGUAUUAUAAUCACCAGU